AUGAACGCUGGCGGCGUGGAUAAGGCAUGCAAGUCAAGGGGGCCCGCAAGGGCAACCGGCAGACGAGGUAGUAAUAACGAGGUACGAACCCGAAAGUCGCGAAUAGCUAGUCGAAAGAUUAGGUAAUACGCGAUGGUCUCUACGGAGUAAAGAUUUAUCGCUUUCGGAUCGGCCUCGUCGGUAUCAGGUAGUUGGUAGGGUAACGGCCUACCAAGCCAAUGACGCCUAGGGGAGGUGAGAGCCUGACCCCCACCGAUGGGACUGAGACACGGCCCAUACACCUACGGGUGGCUGCAGUCGAGAAUCUUCCGCAAUGGGCGAAAGCCUGACGGAGCGACGCCGCGUGAUGGAUGAAGUUCUUCGGAAUGUAAACAUCUUUUAGAGGGGAGGAAGUCUAUUGACGUUACCCUCAGAAUAAGAGGUUGCUAAACUCGU
rnacentral:rRNA from 1 species